GAUUUUAUUUUUAAAUUUCACAAAUUGACUAAAACAUCCGUUAUAGAGUAAACACACUAAAGUAACCUUUAAACUCCCACGGCCUUGCUGAGGAAAAAGUCGACGAUAGUUGAAAACAUAAAUAAAUAAAGCUUAAUGGAUAGAUAAUUUUAAUUGAGACACAAACAGGUGACAUUACAAUAGAAUGGAACUGUCGAUAUUCCAUUCUUUUUUUGGCAAGCAAAUCUCUACAUAUAACAAACAACUUGCUAAGAAUUAGAAUAAUAGGUACUAAAAUAGCAGCAUCACUAUUACUACAAAAUACUACUGUACUCCUCCUAAAAUGCUAUUCAAUCGGGUGUUGGUCACCAUUAAAAACCUGCUGCUCUUCUUAACCCGUCUCAAAAUCUUCAGUCCCAGGUACCUACAUCCGCACAUAUAACGAGAAUUAAGGUCCAAUUGUUUCAUAGGAUUUUAGGUGAGGUGCUCCUAUAUUGAACUGAUUUAAGCACAGAAGCUGCUCUCAAUGAAUGUAUGUUAAAGCCUGCAACAGAGUGAAAAGUUAAAAUGUCAGCCAGUAAAUCAAAUGCUUUUACCAAUCAAAUAAAAAAUGCCUUAACUGAUAUUUAGCAGUUCCAAAUUUCCACAUUACCUUAUUCUAAUUUCCAAAAAAAAAAGUAUCGUAAUUAUUAUUGUUUAGAUAACAAACCCUGCCAAAGAAAUGAACAGUUUGCCAAUUUGGAUAUAGUAGAUGUUGGAUAGAUCAAAAAUGUAAAAGCUGAAACCUGUACUAUUGAGAUAUAAUAAAUUUUUACAGUAAUCAUUGAUAUAAUGGUUAUGAAACCUGUACUAUUGAGAUAUAAUGGGUAUGACUCUUUGUGUAGGUUAUUAGGUUCAGUGUAGACAAAUUUCAAAAAGAUUUAACUUGUGAAAAGUCAAACAAAUUGCACAAAUUAAGGAGACAACUAAAAACCUUGGAAAAAUAGAAGCUGGAAAAUACCAACAAAAUAAAAAGAUCAUUCAUUGCCAAACAAUCAGAAACAAAAAUAGAAUCCAGAAUAAUAGCAAAUUUCUCCUAAGAUGCGUGCAAGAGGAGUUGAUUUCCUCAACACCAGAGCACAUGUACUCUAAAAAUUGCCACUUCUUCCUCGCUAUAUGCCUACAACUUCUUCCAACAAAGGUGCUAUCAAACUAAAUAAUAAAAGGAAAAUCUAAACCAUUUGAGUUUUCUACGAGGAUUGGCUUUGAGGAAAGAAUAAGUGUAGCAGAAAAGUGGAAAGUAUAUUGGCCAAGCUACUUAAGUAUUGACAUGUACAUAUAGUUGAAAAAUUAGUUGUUGAUCAAAGUUAAGGACUAUAAAGUUAUAGUGCAUUUACCAACAGCACCCACCAACAGAUAUUAGUAAAAUGUUGGAUACUUGGAUCCACAAGGAAAAGAAGGUUCAAAUUUCCCGGGUGAGUGAGCAGUGUUGAUCCAGGCAUAAUAAUCUUAGCCAGUUAACUUAUUUCUGGAACUUUAGAUUAUUGAAGACGUGAAAGAAAUAAAUGCUUCAAUUUGGCUAACAAGUUGCAGGGAGGGGGAAGAGAGGAAAAAUCACUGCAGGUAGUAGCAUUGAGUAUAAAAUCCUGUAGUACGCUUUAGCAGGUUGGGUAGUAUCAAACAAAUUGCACAAAUUAAGGAGACAACUAAAAACCUUGGAAAAACAGAAACUAGAAAAUACAAACAAAAUAAAAAGAUCAUUCAUUGAACUAACAAACCUAUUGUAAGCCCUAAGAAGUUCAAAUUCAUCACAUUACAAAAUUAAAAUACACAUAAGUACAUAUAUCAAAAGUAAACCCUAGAGAAAGAUAGUGGAGAGAGGUGAAAAGUAACAAAAAUUAAUGAAAUUAACAAACCACACUUUCAAAACUCAACAAAAUAAAAUCCCUAAGGUUUCAUUGAAAUCAGAUAAACGAAGAUUUAACCCAAAAAGGCCUUCAAACACAGAUACAAAGAAAUAUAUUAAUGAAUAACCGUAGAAAGAGAAAGUGGGUAGUACGAACCUUUCUCUGAGAGAUGAUGCGGCUGCACUCACGGAGGACGCGACCUGUGAGAGACUUCUUUGCAGAUCAUGGUGUCUUCGGUUAGGGUUCUUUGNNN
rnacentral:lncRNA from 1 species